GUACAAAUACAAUGUGAAAAGGAGUCUUCGUUUACUCGAUUUCUGGUUGAUGGGUGGAGUCAAUACCCGAACCAAUCACCCUUGCAGAUUAAUGAAAAAUCCUUUUGCCGUCUUCAUUAAUCGGCAAGGAUAAAUUUGAGCAUCAUUUAGGACUGCGCCUUUGAUCCUUUCAACCGUGCAUUUGAUGAGGCUGUUCACCGUUGCAACGGAACCCAAGGAGAGCUUCGCAGUGGGAACGGAAUCGACCAAUAUCUGAAAGGCGACGGUCAGCAGGGAUCCGACCUCACUGAUUCCACCCGUUUGGUCGUUGGCUCCAUCGGGUAGUAUGGCAAAACCCGAUGGCAAGAGGGCCACGUAGUCGGGAUCUCCACCACUCAAGACCACGUUCAUGGCUAUGAUGUCUACGGGAGCAUAGAUAACGUAGGAACCGGUGGCAUCGCUGCAGCUCUCCUGCAAUAUCAGCAUAUUGCUCUGGCUCGAGUUGGCACUCUGCAUUUCCGAUUUUGGACAGUGAGAGAGGAUAACAUCACGAUGCAACGACAAGCAAGGUUGAUCAUAACUUACAUUAACACGAAGAAGAGAGACGGAGUUUCCCGGAUCACGGCCAUUGGCAAUGUGAGCCAUUUCUUGAACAAGCCCACCAUUCGAAAGAAUGUCCCACUUGUGAUCAAGGACAAGAGAUAUUAGGAAGUCGAAGACUCGCUUUGGUGGGACUGGGAGCCAGAACGAGGUGGCAGCACUGAGCACGAUCCCGGGAGGUCUCCCGGGGUCAUCCAUGCUCUUCCUAGUCAUCACCCGAACAUCAUCGGCUCCACUUCCCGACAGCGUUGUCCACGUGUGCGCAGUUGAGGCGCCCACGCCUGUGCAGAAGCUCAUCACCAUUCUCUCAGCAAGCUUCAGCAUGCUCUUUCUACCUUUUGGAGAAGAUAUGACUGCACAAAUUGUCGCUCACAUUGGCGGUCUAGUAUUGCCACCCAUCGCCGGGCUCCAAAGGCAAGGCCGGAAUUCACCAACGGUUUGUAGAUAUUAUGGACAGCUCUAUCAUCAACCUCUACAUGUUCAACCCAUGUUACCUUGAAACGAGUAGGGAAAAAAGCAAGCUUGUUAGGCUAAAGCUCGAGCCUCAUGAAAUCAGGUCUCAGGUUGUCCAGAGAGACAUCAACCACUGCCCAAGUUCCAUCGCCAUGUUGCUUGCAGUAUCUCACGAAGUAAAUCUCUCGAGUUGGGACCAACGGAGAAGGGACUUGGAACUCGGCAGUCAUCUGAAAUCAUAAAAUGAGAUAAGAUCUCUUCAAUCGUUUGUUAUAUUAUUUUUGUUUAGACACAUAUUUUGGCUCAGAUCUCAUAUUAUCUUACCACUUGCAGAGCUCCAUUGUAGUUUCCCGCGACGCCGGUGGACAGCACUUCCAAAGUCAUUGCUCUUGAAACAAUACUCGAAAACACACUCGACCAUUGAUUCUGCAAAUAUCAUAUCAAGAUUCAUGAUAUCAUUCAUGAUUUCGAAAAACAUGAAGCAAAUUAUCUGCAGGUGCAAGAAGAAAAUAAUCCUACUGUAUCCAUGAGGAUCUCGACCAGGUUGAUGUGGUUCAUGAUCACCACAGCCGACUCUCUCGAAGCUUCGGAUUUCAACCCCAACGGCUUCGGCCCGAUCCCUCGUGGGAACGUCCUCACGUACUCGUCUUCACUCAACACUUCGCCCAAACCAUCGGUGUUUUGAACCCACAGAGGCUCCCCGGUUUGAGCCAUUCUGAUGAGCUCCUCCAUGGCUGCAACGGCUAGCUCGAUGAUUAUCGGCUUGUCAGCAUCGGACGGCCCAGAUACCGACCUGAGAAGAUCCGAAGCUCCGAAGAUCUCACCGGACAAGCCGGUGUUUGCACCAAAACUGCCCACGCCGAGAUCAAGCGAACGCGAUGCUCCAGAUGAAAGCUGAGGGUAUGAUAGCAUUGGCUUUCCCACAUACUUAGCAGCAAUCCCAGAUAUCCUAUCAAUCUGAGAAGAGAAUUCAUACAUUAACUAUACAAAUGAAGAAGAAGAAAAAAAGAAUUCACUCUCAUGUUCGAAAUUUGAUCAUUUCCACAAUAUUAUAGUUUCAUUUCUAACUUUCCAAACAAA